UGUGUUCCCUUUCCCCACCCCUCUAGUUCCCACAUCGGUAGGAUGUGGUUUGCAUCUUCAGUAUUUAGGGUCCUCAGUGGUAGUUAAAAGUUGGUACCUUUUGACUAUUGCUGUGGAGUUACUUUAGGUGUUGUGUGUGUGAGUUGUGUUCUUCCGUUGAAAAGAAACAGAGAUUCAGGAGAGGUAAAAAAACUGGUAAGGAUAGAUUCAGGAGAGUCGUCUGUG
rnacentral:lncRNA from 1 species